UACGUAGGGUGCAAGCGUUGUCCGGAAUUAUUGGGCGUAAAGAGCUCGUAGGCGGUCUGUCGCGUCGGCUGUGAAAACCCGGGGCUCAACCCCGGGCCUGCAGUCGAUACGGGCAGACUAGAGUGCGGUAGGGGAGACUGGAAUUCCUGGUGUAGCGGUGAAAUGCGCAGAUAUCAGGAGGAACACCGGCGGCGAAGGCGGGUCUCUGGGCCGUAACUGACGCUGAGGAGCGAAAGCGUGGGGAGCGAACAGG
rnacentral:rRNA from 1 species